rnacentral:rRNA from 1 species
CCUACGGGUGGCAGCAGUGGGGAAUUUUGCGCAAUGCUCGUAAGAGUGACGCAGCGACGCCGCGUGAAUGACGAAGGCCUUCGGGUCGUAAAGUUCUUUCGACAGGGAAGAAAAUGCCUAUAAGUAACUGUGUAUGUAUUGACGGUACCUGUAUAAGCAGCCCCGGCUAACUCCGUGCCAGCAGCCGCGGUAAUACGGAGGGGGCGAGCGUUGUUCGGAGUGACUGGGCGUAAAGGGCACGUAGGCGGUGUUGUAAGUCAUUAGUCAAAGUCUAGGGCUCAACUUUAGUAAGGCUAGUGAUACUAUCAUACUUGAGUAUCAGAGAGGUAGGCGGAAUUCCUGGUGUAGCGGUGAAAUGCGUAGAUAUCAGGAAGAAUACCGAUAGCGAAGGCAGCAAUCUGGCUGGAGACUGACGCUGAGGCGCGAAAGCGUGGGUAGCAAACAGGAUUAGAUACCCCAGUAGUC